rnacentral:rRNA from 1 species
CAGUCGCCGCGGGAACACGAAGGGUGCAAGCGUUAAUCGGAAUUACUGGGCGUAAAGCGUGCGUAGGCGGUGAGUUAAGUCUGCUGUGAAAUCCCCGGGCUCGACCUGGGAAUGGCAGUGGAUACUGGCUCGCUAGAGUGUGUCAGAGGAUGGUGGAAUUCCCGGUGUAGCGGUGAAAUGCGUAGAGAUCGGGAGGAACAUCAGUGGCGAAGGCGGCCAUCUGGGACAACACUGACGCUGAGGCACGAAAGCGUGGGGAGCAAACAGGAUUAGAUACCCCGGUAGUCCCUGUCUCUUAUAC